ACCCGGACUCCUACGGGAGCCGGACUUCGUCUCCAACUUCAACUGCAGGUGGACUUCAUCCGGACUCCUACGGGAGCUAGACUUUAUCCCCAACUUCAACUGCAUGUGGACUUCAUCCGGACUCCUACGUGAUCCGGGCUUUGUCCCCAACUUCAACAGCAUGUGGACUUCAUCCGGACUCCUACGGGAGUCGGACUUCAUCCUGAACUCCUAUUGCAGGUGGACCUCACCCCGGACUCCUACAAG
rnacentral:lncRNA from 1 species